rnacentral:rRNA from 1 species
UACGUAGGGGGCAAGCGUUGUCCGGAAUCAUUGGGCGUAAAGAGCGCGUAGGCGGUCCGGUAAGUCCGCUGUGAAAGUCAAGGGCUCAACCCUUGAAUGCCGGUGGAUACUGUCGGGCUAGAGUCCGGAAGAGGCGAGUGGAAUUCCUGGUGUAGCGGUGAAAUGCGCAGAUAUCAGGAGGAAUACCGGUGGCGAAAGCGACUCUCUGGACGGCAACUGACGCUGAGGCACGAAAGCGUGGGGAGCGAACAGG